rnacentral:rRNA from 1 species
AUUGAACGCUGGCGGCAGGCCUAACACAUGCAAGUCGAGCGGAUGACGGGAGCUUGCUCCUUGAUUCAGCGGCGGACGGGUGAGUAAUGCCUAGGAAUCUGCCUGGUAGUGGGGGACAACGCUUCGAAAGGAACGCUAAUACCGCAUACGUCCUACGGGAGAAAGCAGGGGACCUUCGGGCCUUGCGCGAUCAGAUGACCCUAGGUCGGAUUAGCUAGUGGGUGAGGUAAUGGCUCACCUAGGCGACGAUCCGUAACUGGUCUGAGAGGAAGAUCAGUCACACUGGAACUGAGACACGGUCCAGACUCCUACGGGAGGCAGCAGUGGGGAAUACUGGACAAUGGGCGAAAGCCUGAUCCAGCCAUGCCGCGUGUGUGAAGAAGGUCUUCGGAUUGUAAAGCACUUUAAGUUGGGAGGAAGGGCAGUAAGCGAAUACCUUGCUGUUUUGACGUUACCGACAGAAUAAGCACCGGCUAACUCUGUGCCAGCAGCCGCCGUAACAC